rnacentral:rRNA from 1 species
CGUCAAGUCAUCAUGCCCCUUAUGCCCAGGGCUGCACGCAUGCUACAAUGGCCGGUACAAUGGGCUGCGAACCCGCGAGGGGGAGCUAAUCCUCAAAGCCGGCCUCAGUUCGGAUUGGAGUCUGCAACUCGACUCCAUGAAGUCGGAGUCGCUAGUAAUCGCGGAUCAGCACUACUGCGGUGAAUACGUUCCCGGGCCUU